UAAGUUUAUAAUUUGGCUUUUUUGCUUGGAUUUGUUACAUCUAUGUCAAUGAUAUGACAUUUAUAAUAUUGAGUGUUAUAUAAAAUAAUUUAGUAUAAAAGCUUUUUAUUGCGUACAUUUAAAAUUAAUUCAACAAACAUAUAUCAAUAUACAUUAUUAAAAUGAAAUAUAAAAUAACUGCCAUUAUUGGUUUCCGACGACGAAAGGAGAUAUUCGAUGUAGAUUACGCCCAAUUAGGAUAAUUUCGGGAUGGAUAUCCUUUUCUAAAAAUGCUCGAGGCUUCUCCGACAGCGGCAUAAUUUCGAAUACUUCGCGAACACCCUGAAAGAUGUACCAAGAGCCAUCGUCUUUAUUAAAAAUUCCUUUACUUCGAUAAAUCAUAAACUCCUCGUCUUCCCCUUCCUCCAAACAAGACCAAAGUGUAUGACGAACCCAUUGUAGAAAUUGCUGAAAAACCUCUUUCGACAUUAGUGGGGGCAGUUUAAAAGUAUGAGUUGAGAUAUCAAGGCUAUGCGUAUCGAGAGAAUGCAAAUGUUGGCAAUCCACGUCCAAACAAGUAGAACAAUUAAUAUUGCUAUCAUUGCUCCUUUGAAUCGACCACUCAAGAUUAGAAGUAUUUUCGUUGCCGUAUGCAUCCAAGUCCAAAAUUUCAGAAAUGUCAUCCAACCGUCCAUAUGUUGUUUCAAUAAUCUUCGCUAAGCAAUUGAUCUUCAAUAUAGUUUGACGUACCACAGAUAAUGCUUCAGAAGAAAUAAGAUCUGUUUUGUUUAAGAUCAAACAAUCAGCAUGUGAAAUUUGAAUAAAACCAAUAUCACUUUCAUCCUUUAAGAUAUUAUCUAUAUUUUUACAAUCAAUAACAGUAACGAUGCCAUCUAACUUGACAUCGCUUUUCAACGCGUCGUCCAACCAAAAUGUUUGAGCAAGAGGACCAGGAUUGGCUAUACCCGUUGUUUCAAUUACAAUGUUAUCAAAUCUCCCCUUUUGCCUCAUAAUUUUUUCCAAAGCUUUAAUCCCAUUGUCUUUCACAGUGCAACACAUGCACCCAUUUGAAAGAGCCACCCACUCUUCAUAAAGUUCUUCUCCUCCAACAUCCUCCAUUAAGCUCCUUUCAAGGUCUCCCGAAUCACCCACCUCAUUCAUUAAUACAGCAACCCUUUUACCAUUUCGAUUUUCAAGAAUUGACCGUAGCAAAGAAGUUUUACCGGCACCCAAAAAGCCCGUCAGUAUUGUGACAGGGACUGGGUCCAAGGUAGAGUCAUGAUCAACUAGAAGAAAAUCUGAUUGCUGCUCAAAUGAAUCAAUAUCAUUAUUGGACGAAACCGUAGGUACGCUUAAUGUUUCCGAAUGCGGUUGUGUGUUAACCUCUUCAACGUCAACCAGCUGUGGAAUUUCCGACUCGUUUUCAAUUUCAAAGUCCAUUCUUACACCUUUUUUAAAUAAUGGUCAUAUAAUUAAUCUUUUCGAGUUGAAUACUUUGAGAAAUACUUCUAAAAGCCUCAAUUUAGGUCUCACAGGUAAAUACUUUCGAAAAGUGUUAAUAAUGAAUUUUUUUAGUAUGAAAUUAGCACAACACUGUGUUUGCACUAUAUGCAGUCAUUUCGUAUAACACUGACAUGGUUUUAUAGCGAAAAUUGUCAGCAGCUACGAAUGAAUAGUGUGAUAAAUUACUUAUACAACGAAUUUUACAUGAAAUGACUUUAUAGCAAAAGCAAGACAUCAGAGCAAAAUAAUAAUAAACAUAGCAAG